rnacentral:rRNA from 1 species
CCUACGGGAGGCCGCAGUGGGGAAUAUUGGACAAUGGGCGAAAGCCUGAUCCAGCCAUGCCGCGUGUGUGAAGAAGGCCUUCGGGUUGUAAAGCACUUUCAGUGGGGAAGAAAGCCUUGGGGCUAAUACCCUCGAGGAAGGACAUCACCCACAGAAGAAGCACCGGCUAACUCCGUGCCAGCAGCCGCGGUAAUACGGAGGGUGCGAGCGUUAAUCGGAAUUACUGGGCGUAAAGCGCGCGUAGGCGGUCUGGUAAGCCGGUUGUGAAAGCCCCGGGCUCAACCUGGGAACGGCAUCCGGAACUGUCAGGCUAGAGUGCAGGAGAGGAAGGUAGAAUUCCCGGUGUAGCGGUGAAAUGCGUAGAGAUCGGGAGGAAUACCAGUGGCGAAGGCGGCCUUCUGGACUGACACUGACGCUGAGGUGCGAAAGCGUGGGUAGCAAACAGGAUUAGAUACCCUGGUAGUC